AUGAAGCACAUCAAGAAAAGCAGCAGCUCGUCGAGGCUUGCCUGCGACGACGACCGUCCUACGGCGGCGUUGAGGGAGAUGGCCAGGGAGCAGUCCCUGGUGACGCAGCUGCGCGCUGUCGUGCUGCCGGCGAUCCAGCUAGCCGGCGGCCAGCGGGCCGAGGUCGUCGGCCAGAUGUUCGAGAGCAUACUGGACUGCUCGGCCAAGGCCAUAGCCGCGUUGAAGCUUCUUCCGCUCGAUCAUUCUCAAGUUGAUGAUGCUGUGCUGCCGACGGCGAUGGUGGACGACAAGACGAGAGUCAGGAAGAUCGUCACCGGCGACGGAGAGAAGGACGGCGACGACAAUGCCAAGCCCCUUCGCCGUCAGCGCAAGAGAAGGAGAUUAGCCGAUGACUCCGUGGCGCUUGAAACGCCUGUUCCUCACUACGAUGGCCACCAGUGGAGGAAGUAUGGUCAGAAAAUCAUCAACCACACAAAGCACCCUAGGAGUUACUACAAAUGCACCUACAAGCAAGAACAGGACUGCAGAGCAACGAAGACGGUGCAACAGCAGCAACAAGACGACGGCGUCGACGAUGACCCUGCCAUGUACGCCGUCGUCUACUACGGUCAACACACCUGCAAGCCCGGCCAGACCGAUGCCGCCGUCGUCGAGACGGCAAGCACCGGUAGGUGCGGUGAAGGCGGGGGAGAGGAGCUUGCCCGGAGCAGCAGCCAGUGCAGCAAUAUCUCGGUGACUUGCUCUUCGGUUGUCGUUGACCACCACCAGACGACGACGGCGUCCCUCGAGAGCAGUUGCAACCUGCUGGACAUGGCGGGAGACUUGGCUACUGCAGAGGUGAACCAGUAUGAUCAGCUGUUUGAUGUGGCUUCGUUUUCGCCGUUGGGUUUGGGGACGGCUUGGGAGAUGGAUAUGAGCGGGCAUGGGCUCCAAAAGUUUGGAGGCUGCUAA
rnacentral:rRNA from 1 species